rnacentral:lncRNA from 1 species
GGCGAGUAGGCGAAGCCGUGUUCGUGCGCAGGUGAUCCCUGUCCCGCCUCGGGAAACGUUUGCCUCUCCACGAAAGGGAGGGGCAGUCAGGUGUGCGGGGUCUGGGGAGAAGGCUGAGCUAAUUAGAUCCUCCUAAUCUUGGGACCGAGUAUUCUCCGUCUGCGCCAAGGGAUUGACUUUUCAGCGCCGCAUGCCGGUGUCCUUUUCUGUGCCUACGGUUUUGCUGCCCUUAUCUGGGGACACUGGUCCUGGGCUAUUUCAAUCGGUGUCUGGGUCGCUGCCAACUCAAUGCUGUCAUUAACAAAAUGAAACUAAGGCACUCACUUUGCGCCCUGUAUUUUCCUUCGUCAUCUCUUUUAACCAUCAGUCGUCAAAGUUGAUCAGCUAGGUGGUGCUAUCGCCAUAUUAAACGUGGGACAGUUGUGGUUCAGAGGCUUAGCAAGACCUGUCCUAGGAUUCCUUAGGUCUGUCAGCCUAUAAAUGCCCAAGCUAUUAUUCUCAGCCAUCCUCCCCGCCCCCCACCUGUUGACCUUACAGGUUGAGCUUCUAAUCAGUCACUGAGUUGGCUCCCCCAUAAAGCCUUUUAUGACUUUUUACUGACUACAUCCAAUCAUCCACUUUCAGUCUUUAUUGACUCAAUCUCUCUCACCUACUUGAAAGUCUAAUAAACUUGUGCCACCCACACACCCCUACUUUUUUCUUUCUAGCUACGCAACUGCCCCCUCCCUCUCCCACCAUUUUGUAAAAUUUUGUGUUCAUCUUAGUCCCAUUGCUACUUUUCUUGUAUGAUUUCUUCUGUGG